AUUGAACGCUGGCGGCAGGCCUAACACAUGCAAGUCGAACGGUAACAGGAAGCAGCUUGCUGCUUUGCUGUCGAGUGGCGGACGGGUGAGUAAUGUCUGGGAAACUGCCCGAUGGAGGGGGAUAACUACUGGAAACGGUAGCUAAUACCGCAUAACGUCGCAAGACCAAAGAGGGGGACCUUAGGGCCUCUUGCCAUCGUAUGUGCCCAGAUGGGAUUAGCUAGGAGGUGGGGUAACGGCUCACCUAGGCGACGAUCCCUAGCUGGUCUGAGAGGAUGACCAGCCACACUGGAACUGAGACACGGUCCAGACUCCUACGGGAGGCAGCAGUGGGGAAUAUUGCACAAUGGGCGCAAGCCUGAUGCAGCCAUGCCGCGUGCAUGAAGAAGGCCUUCGGGUUGUAAAGUACUUUCAGCGGGGAGGAAGGGAGUAAAGUUAAUACCUUUGCUCAUUGACGUUACCCGCAGAAGAAGCACCGGCUAACUCCGUG
rnacentral:rRNA from 1 species